rnacentral:tRNA from 1 species
GCGACACUAGCUCAGCUGGUAGAGCGCAACCUAGCCAAGGUUGAGGUCACGCCUUAAGCCUUGAAGAUAGCGAACCUCCUGUAUCGCU